GACGAACGCUGGCGGCGUGCUUAACACAUGCAAGUCGAACGGAAAGGCCCUGCUUUUGUGGGGUGCUCGAGUGGCGAACGGGUGAGUAACACGUGAGUAACCUGCCCUUUACUUUGGGAUAACGUCAGGAAACUGGGGCUAAUACCGGAUAGGCGCUCCUGCUGCAUGGUGGGGGUUGGAAAGUUUCGGCGGUUGGGGAUGGACUCGCGGCUUCUCAGCUUGUUGGUGGGGUAGUGGCUUACCAAGGCUUUGACGGGUAGCCGGCCUGAGAGGGUGACCGGCCACAUUGGGACUGAGAUACGGCCGAGACUCCUACGGGAGGCAGCAGUGGGGAAUAUUGCACAAUGGGCGGAAGCCUGAUGCAGCAACGCCGCGUGCGGGAUGACGGCCUUCGGGUUGUAAACCGCUUUCGCCUGUGACGAAGCGGGAGUGACGGUAAUGGGUAAAGAAGCACCGGCUAACUACGUG
rnacentral:rRNA from 1 species